rnacentral:rRNA from 1 species
UACGUAGGGUGCGAGCGUUGUCCGGAAUUAUUGGGCGUAAAGAGCUUGUAGGCGGUUUGUCGCGUCUGCUGUGAAACCCGAGGCUCAACCUCGGGCCUGCAGUCGAUACGGGCGGACUAGAGUUCGGCAGGGGAGACUGGAAUUCCUGGUGUAGCGGUGAAAUGCGCAGAUAUCAGGAGGAACACCGGUGGCGAAGGCGGCUCACUGGUCCGGUACUGACGCUGAGGUGCGAAAGCGUGGGGAGCAAACAGG